GUAUUUUCGAAAAUCCCAAUAUUCCCUUCCCUUUAUAGAUAUUCACAAGCACCAUUACAAUAAACAAUCACAACAAACUAUCUCAAUCUUAAGCACAAACAAUUACAGUAUCUUAACAAUAACUUGUCAAUUUAAUAUCAAAACUUUAGCAUUUGUACUAUGCUUAUCAUAAACUAACCAUUCAAAAUUGUACUAGUAGAUGCUGAAUUGUUAGUCAAGCUAUGCUUCUUCCCUUUUGUACAUUAUACGUAUGAUAACGGGAUCGUCGCACCUAAUAUCAUAAUAAAGAUAUUUUUGAUACAUACGAUCCUCUAAAGAGGCAAGUGUAGAGCAUACAUAUCUCUGAUUAUAGGAGUAUGAUACACGUUCAAAGGUUUUCAGAGAGAAAGAGAAGAGUUUAGAGAGCCAUAUAAGAAAACUCAGAAUAUUAUUUCAGAGAAAACUUAAGUCUGCUUACAAUGAGAUAGAACGUCUCCAUUUAUAGGCAAGGAGACUCUAGCUAUUACAGGCAAUCGGUUAGAAACUGGCUAACCGAUACACUAAAGUAAAACACACUACUUAUUAAAGUAAAAGUACUUAUUACAUUUUUGACCGACAAGUUUUAACUUUUAUUAUGGAGAUGUUGACAGGUUGAGUGUGUCAUAAUUAGAAUCGUCUGAGUCAUCAAUUCCGAAAAAGUCCUUCGGCCACUGUCGGUGAACAGGUGAUGGUGGGUCAGCACUCUCAAUGGCUGCUUGUAUUUCACUGUCCAUUGAGUCUUGGGAAUCUUGCCAGAUGGAAUGAGACCAGUCUAUUUCAUCAAUGAGAGAUCGGAUGGGUUCAAGGGACGUACAAUUCAUAUGAGGAAGUGUCAGAGGCUGGUAGCCGUUGAUUUCGCAGAGAUGCUCUGCCAGUUGCUUCCUUAGUGGUCCCAUAGCAUCCUUUUCUGUGAUGGACCCUUCAUAGGUCCUCCAUUCAUAUUCAGUGUUUUGGGUCCAGAGAAGUCCAUCGGGCCUUCUAGAGAAAGGCCUAUGCAUGAUGAACAUGGUUUUGAUGUUGGGUUGAGUCCUGAUGGGCCUGUCUUUAAUCCCAUGAGUGUUUAUGAGUUGUUUCAGACUGUACUGCCAUGCGGAGAUGGGCUUGAACCAUUCCAGGAAUCUAAACAGGAGAGUCAUGUUUGUUCUAUCCAGUGUAUGCUGGUACAGGGCCAUGAGUGGGAAUUCUAUUCCCGUAGAGUACAGAGUAACCAUGCAUCAGAGGAGCCAUAAUUCUUCCAGGAUGAGGUCUUUGUCAAGAUGAAUGCUGAAACAUGUGAGGAAAGGAUUGUCAGGAAUGAAGAUUGAUGAGGAUGGGAGCAAUCCCCUUAGGGUAUUCCUGGCACUUAGAUAAUGGAACAGAUGGUCUUUUGCGAACUGAACUAUCUUUGCGAUAGGCUGAUUAGGUGAGCAUCCUGGAGGGAAACUGUCUAAGGUAGGGACAAGGAAACUAAGAGUAUGUGAAGAAGAUGAUGAUGCCAUGAGGAUCAGGGGGAGCGUAGAGCAAGACCUUAUGAGAUGAAGUUCUUUGGGUUUGGAUAGUAGGUCAGAAACUAGGUUAUGCUUCCAUUUGAUGUGUUAACUGUAAACUUAUACCUGGCGAAUCAAUCUUUCAGCCUCAGUAGUUGUGGUUCAGGAAGAGACUUAUUUUUGAAGUCUAGAACCUUUGGGAAGGAUGAGCUGUCCAUGACCACAGUGAAAUGGUGGCCAAUCAAAUGAAAUUCGAAUUUCUUUAUUCCAUUUUUGACAGCUAAUAUCUCUUUGUAGACUGAAUGAUAAUGUUUCUGAGGCUCUGGGAACUCUCCACUAGCAUGUCCGCAGAUAUGCUUUUCUCCUUGAAUUUCUUCGAUGAGGACUGCACCCCAGUGGGUGUCACUAGCAUCAGUCUGAAGGAUGCGGUGUCCAAUGCUGGGAAUCUUUAGUGGUGGCGGGUUUAAAACCACUUCUUUUAAUUUUUUGACUACACAUGUCUGUUCUUCCCUCCAUGGUGGGGCAUCCUUUUUAAGCAUUUUUGACAGCUGGCACGUGUGGGCGGCCACAUGCGGGAUAAACUUCCUGAUGUAAUUGAUAAUACCAAGGAACUGUUGUAUUUGUUUUACUGUCAAGUCCUUAUCAGGGAACUUCAGUAAUUCUUCUGCAAUGUGAGGUCCCGGUUGGUAUUUUUCAUCCUUAGAAUUUUAUUCCAAGGAAGUCGAUGUCAGUUUGGGCCAGUGAGCUCUUCUUUUCUGAUAGCAUAAUUCCAUAGGAAUCCACCAAUUGUUGAAAUGUGGAGAGGAGUGUCCUAUGGGCCGUAACAUCUUUGGAGAAGAGGAGGAUAUCAUCUAUAUAGAUGAGAGCACUGUGGAGUAUAGGCUCGAAUAUCUUUGUCAUGACCUUCUGGAAAACAGAUGGGGCUGUUUUAAGGCUGAAUGGGAGAACAAUCCAUUGAUAUUGGGCCGUAGGGAUACAAAAAGCGAUUUUGGGUCUAUCAGAGGGGUUAAUACCCAAUUGCCAAAAACUAGCUUUAAGAUCAAACUUGGAGAAGAUAUGGGCUUCGUGUAGUUGAGUGAACAAGGCUUCAGGCUUUGAUAAUGGGAACUUGUCAUCUUGGAGGAAAUGAUUCAGAAGCUUGUAAUCUAUGACAAGUCUUUUUUUCCCUCUUAGUCAUUCCGAUCUUUUUUCAACAUAAAAGGCCUGGCAGGCCCAUUGGAAGGAAGUGGGUUCUAUGAGGCCUUGUUGGAGAAGCUGUUUGCACUCUUCUUGGGCUAGAGCCAAGUCUGUAAGAUUCAUUCCCGGGUGUGAUGCCUUUGUCGGAUUGAUAUCUUCAUUGAGUUUGAAUGGAAGACUGACAAAGAAUUCCGGGUUUUUCCAUAGGGGGUGGUGAUGGUGAAAAUGUGCAUGGGAAUCAGCACAGGACCUUAAGAGGAGCUCCUUGUGCUCUUGGAAUUCAGCUGAGGCAUCAGCCAGAGAAUAUAACCUUGGGACAGAAGUAAAUGGCUAAAAAUUCCUCUUAUAUUUCAAUCCUGUGGGGAGGAUCUUCAAAUGCUUCGCCUGUUGGUACAAGUCAAAGCCUAUCAAUAGAUCCUUGUCAGGAAGAUCCGACCCGAUGACCCUAGUCCAAAGGAUACAAGUGGGGAAGAACUGAAUUCCAAUUGGGUGCUUAGUGAUAAGGCUAGUUUUGAAAACAUUUCCAUCUGCAGCCUUAAAGUAUUCUUCAUGGGGGACCCAGUAUUCUGAGGGUAAGAUGGCUGGGUUCAUCAUGCUUUUGUGAGCCCCGGUAUCCAAGAAGCCAAUGACACUAAUGGGCCGUUCAUACUUACUGGGAAGAAUAUGGAUCGGGACUAAAGGAAUUGGAAUAGUGUCUGGGCCAUAAGUGGAUUAGGAGGAUUGGAUAUGUUGGGCUAAGUAAGACGGGUAAUGGGCUUCAGU
rnacentral:misc_RNA from 1 species